AACGAACGCUGGCGGCAUGCCUAACACAUGCAAGUCGAACGAAACGUCCGGGUCUUUGUGCGCACGGUGGCGGAAGGCGUGGGAAGCUGCACUUAGGUACGGAAUAACUCCCCGAAAGGGAUGCUAAUACCAGAUAAGGUCUUCCCACCAAAGAUUUAUUGCCUUGGGAUGGGCCCGCGUUGGAUUAGGUAGUUGGUAGGGUAAUAGCCGACCAAGGCCAGGAUGCAUAGCUGGUCUGGGAGGCUGCUACUCAACGCUUGGAGUGAGACGCGGCCCAGAAUCGUACGGGAGGGAGGAGUGGGGAAUAUAGGAAAAUGGGGGAAGGGAUGAUCGAGCAAUGCCCGGUGAGUGAUGAAGGUAGUAGGGUAGUAAUGUGCUUUUACCCGGGAUGAUAAUGACGGUACCGGGUGAAUAAGCACCGGCUAACUCCGUG
rnacentral:rRNA from 1 species